GGAGAGAUGGCCGAGCGGUUUAAGGCGCACGCUUGGAAAGUGUGUGUAUUGUUAAAGGUACCCAGGGUUCGAAUCCCUGUCUCUCCGCCA
rnacentral:tRNA from 1 species